rnacentral:rRNA from 1 species
AUUGAACGCUGGCGGCAUGCCUUACACAUGCAAGUCGAACGGCAGCACGGGAGCUUGCUCCUGGUGGCGAGUGGCGAACGGGUGAGUAAUGCAUCGGAACGUGCCCUGAAGUGGGGGAUAACGUAGCGAAAGUUACGCUAAUACCGCAUAUUCUGUGAGCAGGAAAGCAGGGGAUCGCAAGACCUUGUGCUUUGGGAGCGGCCGAUGUCGGAUUAGCUAGUUGGUGAGGUAAAGGCUCACCAAGGCGACGAUCCGUAGCGGGUCUGAGAGGAUGAUCCGCCACACUGGAACUGAGACACGGUCCAGACUCCUACGGGAGGCAGCAGUGGGGAAUUUUGGACAAUGGGCGCAAGCCUGAUCCAGCCAUGCCGCGUGAGUGAAGAAGGCCUUCGGGUUGUAAAGCUCUUUCGGCGGGGAAGAAAUGGCACGGGUUAAUACCCUGUGUUGAUGACGGUACCCGCAUAAGAAGCACCGGCUAACUACGUG